GUAACAAAAAAGGCAUGGUACUUUACUCUGUGUACGAAGGUUACAGAGAUUAGCAUGGCCUCUGCACAAGGAUGUCAUACAAAUUCAUAAAGUGUUCCAUGUUUUU
ensembl:snRNA U6 U6 spliceosomal RNA